rnacentral:lncRNA from 1 species
GGCCACUUUCAGGGCCAUCUAUUAACCCCUGCAGAGCCAUGCUCCGUGGGAGCCACCCUGAGAAAGGCUGCUCAGCGACAGGACGUUUGUGGAAAGAGCCCAGGGAGUGCAGGAAUGCAUCCCUGUCACAAAGAGCUGCGCCCUGGGCCUUGCUGCCCUCUGGAGAGAGAAGGUGCCUAGCAACAGGAAUUAGCUAGUGAGGGGGAGGGAGGACUGCUGUGUAACUUAAAAGCCAACGAAUCUGACCAUCUAGUAACAGGAAUUAGCUAGUGAGGGGGAGGGAGGACUGCUGUGUAACUUAAAAGCAAACGAAUCUGACCAUCUAGCUUCUGAUCUCUGAUGGGAGAUGGCGUUCAUUCCUUCACUGAGCACGGACCUGUGGGGUGCCCAGCAUGGGAUGGUGCUCCCUGGCUCCUGUCCUCACGGGGCUUCCAGUCUACAAGCUUCAUCUCCUGUGUCAAUUCAGGCAAGAGGAAGAGAGAGGAGGAAGCUUCCAGAUCCAAGCCAGAGGAGGUGGAUGCAGCACCCAUCGCCCACAGCUUUGGGGCCUGGUCCAGCUUCUACCUGGCCGAGACACCCAACCCCAACCCCACCCACAUGGGCAUGCAGAAGAGUCUGAGACGGUGCACACUGACCUGCGGCAGAGUUUCAGGUGACAUUUGUUUUGUUUCUACAUCCUAA